rnacentral:rRNA from 1 species
UACGUAGGGUGCAAGCGUUGUCCGGAAUUAUUGGGCGUAAAGAGCGUGUAGGCGGCCAGAUAGGUCCGUUGUGAAAACUGGAGGCUUAACCUCCAGCGGUCGAUGGAAACCAUCUGGCUAGAGUCCGGAAGAGGAGAGUGGAAUUCCUGGUGUAGCGGUGAAAUGCGCAGAUAUCAGGAAGAACACCCGUGGCGAAGGCGGCUCUCUGGGACGGUACUGACGCUGAGACGCGAAAGCGUGGGGAGCGAACAGG